rnacentral:piRNA from 1 species
UGCUUCCAGUCCAUUUCAUGUGCACAUAC